rnacentral:rRNA from 1 species
CCUACGGGUGGCAGCAGUGGGGAAUAUUGCGCAAUGGGCGAAAGCCUGACGCAGCGACGCCGCGUGAGGGAUGAAGGUCUUCGGAUCGUAAACCUCUGUCAGCAGGGAAGCACGGUCACUGUGCUAAUCAGCAGUGAAUUGACGGUACCUACAAAGCAAGCACCGGCUACCUCCGUGCCAGCAGCCGCGGUAAUACGGGGGGUGCGAGCGUUGAUCGGAAUUUCUGGGCGUAAAGCGCUCGUAGGCGGUAUGUGAAGUCAAGGGGGAAAUCCCCGCGCUCAACGUGUGAACUGACUUUGAAACUGGCGAACUGGAGUGUGUGAGAGGAGAGUGGAAUUCCAGGUGUAGGAGUGAA